rnacentral:rRNA from 1 species
AACGAACGCUGGCGGCAGGCUUAACACAUGCAAGUCGAGCGCCCCGCAAGGGGAGCGGCAGACGGGUGAGUAACACGUGGGAAUCUACCCAUCUCUACGGAACAACCCAGGGAAACUUGGACUAAUACCGUAUACGCCCUUAGGGGGAAAGAUUUAUCGGAGAUGGAUGAGCCCGCGUUGGAUUAGCUAGUUGGUGGGGUAAUGGCCUACCAAGGCGACGAUCCAUAGCUGGUCUGAGAGGAUGAUCAGCCACACUGGGACUGAGACACGGCCCAGACUCCUACGGGAGGCAGCAGUGGGGAAUAUUGGACAAUGGGCGCAAGCCUGAUCCAGCCAUGCCGCGUGAGUGAUGAAGGCCCUAGGGUUGUAAAGCUCUUUCACCGGUGAAGAUAAUGACGGUAACCGGAGAAGAAGCCCCGGCUAACUUCGUGCCAGCCGCCGCUGUAA